rnacentral:rRNA from 1 species
AGACUGCGAGUGAUAAGAUCCGUAGUCGAAAGGGAAACAGCCCAGAUCACCAGUUAAGGUCCCAAAAUUCAUGCUAAGUGGAAAAGGAUGUGGAGUUGCGCAGACAACUAGGACGUUGGCUCAGAAGCAGCCAUCAUUCAAAGAGUGCGUAAUAGCUCACUAGUCGAGUGACGCCGCGCCGAAAAUUUACCGGGGCUAAGCAUGAUACCGAAACUGUGGAUGUGCAUUUAUGCACGUGGUAGGAGAGCGUUCUAGCGGCGGUGAAGCAUGACUGAGAAGACAUGUGGAGCUUCUAGAAGUGAGAAUGCCGGUAUGAGUAACGAAAGACAGGUGAGAAUCCUGUCCGCCGCAAGACUAAGGUUUCCUGGGGCAGGCUCGUCCGCCCAGGGUAAGUCGGGACCUAAGGCGAGGCCGAGAGGCGUAGUCGAUGGACAACAGGUUGAAAUUCCUGUACUGCACCGAAUCGUUAUGAGCGAUGGAGGGACGCAGGAGGCUAGCAGCGCGUGGUGCUGGAUACCACGUUCAAGCGUCAAGUCUGAGAGCGAGUCAAAUGCUUGCUCUCAUAAGGACAAGGCGUGAUGAGGAGCGAAAUUAAAGUAGCGAAGG